CGGCAGGCCUAAACAUGCAAGUCGAGGGGUAACAGGGAAAAGCUUGCUUUUCCGCUGACGACCGGCGCACGGGUGCGUAACGCGUAUGCAACCUACCUUUUACAGGAGUAUAGCCCAGAGAAAUUUGGAUUAAUCCUCCAUAAUAUCUUAAUCAUGCAUAUGAUAAAGAUUAAAGCUUCGGUGGUAAAAGAUGGGCAUGCGUUUUAUUAGCUAGUAGGUGAGGUAACGGCUCACCUAGGCCACGAUAAAUAGGGGCCCUGAGAGGGGGAUCCCCCACACUGGUACUGAGACACGGACCAGACUCCUACGGGAGGCAGCAGUGAGGAAUAUUGGACAAUGGACGAAAGUCUGAUCCAGCCAUGCCGCGUGCAGGAUGACGGCCCUAUGGGUUGUAAACUGCUUUUAUACAGGAAGAAACACUCCCACGUGUGGGGGCUUGACGGUACUGUACGAAUAAGGAUCGGC
rnacentral:rRNA from 1 species